ACAUUAGAAAACUACCCAAAAUAUUAGAAAACUACACCUCUUUGAACUACAUUAGCACCAAAAUAUUAGUUAGUUGAGAAUAUUGUGCAUAUAUGUUUGAGGGAGAGAGGACCAUGUUAUACUUUGGAAGGGCAACAAGAGGUAGUAAGCCCAAUGGGUUUGGCUCCCAGCGUGUCCUUAAAUGCUCAAAGACCCUAAAACACCCAUGGUAUCUCCUCUGAUCUCAAAACCCUACAUUACAUGGCUUCUCCCUCAAUUCUCAGCAUAAAUACCGUUAUACAACCUUUCAAUCCACCCACACCACCUUCACCUCCUCUAUCUCACGCCUCUUAUUGUUGCUUACCUCUUUCCCCCCUGUUCAUCGGCUUGUCACCCAAAGAAAAUGUCUCACAGGAAACCAAAUAAACUAUCUCAAACAACAGUUCUCCAGCAAAUUCUCUAAAGGUGCUCCAGCAUUGGAAAGAAACAAGGUUAUGACCAAGAAAGCCUUCUGGUUGACAUCCCAAAAGGCCAUUUUGCAGUAUAAGUUGGUGAAAACAGAACAAGAUGCAUUGUCCCAAUCUGCUUCUUGACCCAUCCUGAAUUUCAAAGCUCACUUCAACAAGCCAAAGAAGAGUUUGGUUUCCAUCAUGAGAUGGGCAUCAGAAUUCCAUGUUAAGAAGUUGUUUUUCAGUCUUUAAUGUCCAUGGUUUAGAUGAAAUGAAGUUUGGGGAUGGGCUGGGGCUUGUCUGGAAAAUUGGGUUGAAGAUGAAUCUGCUUCAUUGCUUCUCUUUGCUUUUUACACCUCUUUCUCUCUCUUUUUUUAUUUUAUUUUCUUGGGAUUCUUUUACAGUAAUUCUAAUCCAGAAACCAUGAGCAUUUUAGGGUUUAUAUUUGUACAUCUAAAGUUUGAAGUUUUCCUCAUGGUGGGAUGGGGAUGUACCCUGUGAGAGAAAUGGACUAAUAUUGAGGAUAUUUUGUGUUGUUGAUCCUUUCUUUCAAGCUUUUUAUUGGCUGCUUCUUUUAUUUUUGUUUUAUUCAAGAGCUGAACAGGGAAUUCAGUCCAUCCAACAAUAACAUACAGCUGAGUGGAAUGAUGUUUCUGAAAUGAGAGAAAAUUAUAGGGAAAAUAUGUCCAGGACUGUGCUUGAUCACAGAAUUUUAUGUCCCUUUUCAUUCCUUCAAAGCAUCAAAUACUUAUUCAUGUUCAGUACUUUCCACUGGAUCAAAGUGGGUUUCUCCUAGUGGUAGGUCAUAAAAGGAGCUUUGUCUCAUAGAAUCAUCUUAUUGUCAUGUUCGCACCGGCUGUUAGUUUUGAUGGCCCCAAAACUCAAUUGCCUACGUUAUUUUUCUAUUCUACUGUAUGACCUUUGAUUAGAUUUUGAGCAGAUGCUAAUCCAAUCGCUAAAUACUAUAUGAUCUUUGAUUUGACCUUGAGUAGAUGUUAAUUCACUUUCUAAAUCAUUGUCAUCUAUUUCAGGUUUGUAUUUUAUGGAUCCAUUGAGCAAAUCUUGUAUACCUCACAUAUUUGGGCUUGAUUAUAGAAAUGGGGUACUGGUCCACCGUUGUUACAAGAUCAAAUGGUGGUCCGCCUAUUGGAUGGUGCAGAGUUUCCAAACUGACUUGCUGUUUCUGGUGAAUUUUGAUCAUCUUACUGCAGGGGAUCAGCUCUUUUACAAGGAGAGUGCAAGUGUAAACAACUACUUCUGGAGUUUUUUGUUUCUUCUGACUCACCGACUGCAUGCUUUACUUCUGAGGCCCCAUAAAAAUGUCUUCUAAUCCUAUAUGCAUAGCAAAUGUGGUGCUGACCUUGGUAAAAUCACUGUCCAACAACUUACGGAGCAUCGCUGCAAGAAACUCUGGAGGUGGGAAGCCAAAUAAGGGUGUGGGUGCACGCAAAACUCCGAAAGCACGAGUUGCAUGUGCUGGUAGCUCCUCAUGCAUAGUAACAUCUGCCAUUUUGAGUUUUGUUGAUGAAAGUUUGUCUGUUAUAUGGUCUUUGACUAGUUUGGUUUCUGUUGAUAUAGACUACUCUACACACUUCAAGUUCUUUUUCUGUUACAUGGUCUUUGAAGACUCCUAAGGAAAAUACUACACCUUGCAACCCCCGCUUAUGAUGUAGGUGAAUAUGAUUGGUUGCAUAUAAAUCAACACAACUCCUUUACGACAAACAUCACAUGAGUUAUCAUCUCAUGUUAUCUAUAUGCCUAGUUAGGUUAGUACUUGAAAAAUAGGGAACCAACCACGUUACCACAUAUGUAUCUUUGAAAGAAGCAUAGAAAGGUGUGGAAGGCAGCCCCGUUGUGCCUCUUUUGGGCGGUUUGGAUGGAAAGAAACAUGAUUGCUUUCGAUAAUGAGGACUUUUCGGUUCAUAGGUUGAAAAAUUCUUUUGUUUGUAAUCUUUGGGUGUGGAUAAAGUCAAUUGUAAAUGAAGGUCCUCUUCCUUUACUUAGUUUUUUUUAUUGGCUAGGCACUAAAUGAGGGUCAGUUUUGUAUUUUCUCUUCUUUUGUGUGUGCCUUAAGGGGCCUUUUGUAUACUCCCUGUAUGCUGUUGGGUUUUCCUCAAGGUGCCAUUUUCUAAUAUAUUUCUGCUUUUGCCUAUCAAAAAAAAAA